GACGAACGCUGGCGGCGUGCUUAACACAUGCAAGUCGAACGGAAAGGCCCCUUUGUUGCUCCUCGAGUGGCGAACGGGUGCGUAACACGUAAGUAACCUUCCCUUGACUUCGGGAUAACUUCAGGAAACUGGGGCUAAUACCGGUUAGGAAUCCUUUCUGCAUGGUGGGGGUUGGAAAGCUUCGGCGGUUUUUGAUGGACUUGCGGCUUAUCUGCUUGUUGGUGUGGUUGUGUCUUACCAAGGCUUUUACGGGUAGCCGGCCUGAGAGGGCGACCGGCCACCUUGGGACUGAGAUGAGGCACAGACACCUACGGGAGGCAGCAGUGGGGAAUAUUGACCAAGGGGCGGAGGGCGGGUGCAGAAGCGCCGCGUGCGGGAAGACGGUCUUAGGGUUGAAAACCGAUUUCAGAAGGGGCGAAGCUUGUGUUGACGGUACCUGAAGAAGAAGCACCGGCUAACUACGUG
rnacentral:rRNA from 1 species